rnacentral:rRNA from 1 species
AGUGAACGCUGGCGGUAGGCCUAACACAUGCAAGUCGAACGGCAGCACAGUAAGAGCUUGCUCUUACGGGUGGCGAGUGGCGGACGGGUGAGGAGUACAUCGGAAUCUACUUUUUCGUGGGGGAUAACGUAGGGAAACUUACGCUAAUACCGCAUACGACCUACGGGUGAAAGCAGGGGAUCUUCGGACCUUGCGCGAUUGAAUGAGCCGAUGUCGGAUUAGCUAGUUGGCGGGGUAAAGGCCCACCAAGGCGACGAUCCGUAGCUGGUCUGAGAGGAUGAUCAGCCACACUGGAACCGAGACACGGUCCAGACUCCUACGGGAGGCAGCAGUGGGGAGUAUUGGACAAUGGGCGCAAGCCUGAUCCAGCCAUACCGCGUGGGUGAAGAAGGCCUUCGGGUUGUAAAGCCCUUUUGUUGGGAAAGAAAAGCAGCAGGUUAAUACCCCGCCGUUCUGACGGUACCCAAAGAAUAAGCACCGGCUAACUUCGUG